GACGAACGCUGGCGGCGUGCUUAACACAUGCAAGUCGAACGCAGUGGCGAACGGGUGAGUAACGCGUAAUCAACCUGCCCUUCAGAGGGGGACAACAGUUGGAAACGACUGCUAAUACCGCAUACUGAAGGAGGGGAUUGAGUCUGAGUAGCAGGUUGGAGGGGUAACGGCCCAACAAGGCGAUGAUCAGGAGCCGGGCUGAGAGGAUGAACGGCCAAAUGGGGACCGGGACACGGCCCAGAAUCCUACGGGAGGGAGCAGUGGGGAAUUUUUCGAAAUGGAGGAAAGUCUGACGGAGCAACGCCGCGGGAGUGAUGAAGGCCUUCGGGUUGUAAAGCUCUGUUAAUCGGGACGCGGUACCGGAAUAGAAAGCCACGGCUAACUACGUGCCAGCAGCCGCGGUAAUAC
rnacentral:rRNA from 1 species